CUCGGAAACUCACUCCGUUUCUCUCCCUUCAUCUCUCCAGUUUUCUUCGAUCAAUUCAUAGAGAAAUUCAAGUGACUCUCGUCGAAAUCGUUAAUUUCAUUUUGAUUCAGAACAGUGAAGCAAUGGUUUCAAUUGACAUGCCUGUUGGCCCAUCUGAAGUUCUGGUUGUUGCUUAGAGGUAGUUGGAAUAUUCCGACUCCUAAUACUCUGUUUUUAGCAUCCGCAAUAUCCUAAUAUUCGAAAGCCUCCACGGAUUGUUAUGUGCCAACAAGUUCCAAAUUCAGAUUAAGACAUUUUCUGUUGCUUGGGUUCUUCACGUCUACAACACAGGAUGAUGAAGGUUUGCUACAGAUUAGUCUUGAGGAGGUUGUUAUGGAUUCUGCAAGUCUUGUGCUUCUCAGAUUUUACUUCAUUCUCCACUGGGAUGAAGGACAGUAAAGCUUGAAUCUGAGUGAGAUAGAUUACAGUUGGAACUCAUCUUGUCAGAACACUUUUUGCAUGCUCUUGUUUAGGAAUUGGAUCUGGUGUGUAUUUAUUGAGUUAAACAAUUUGAGUCAGCAAAAAUGUGUAAUUUCUCUAUUUGUCAGCCUGUUUUCUGUUCAAUGACAU